rnacentral:lncRNA from 1 species
UAGGGCAGUAUAUGACGCUUACCAAUAAAGAGCUUGGCUUUUGCAAUAUGUAUGAGCUAAUUAUCCUGUACACGAUAAAAGACAAUUGAGCUAUCCAUUAAAGCUGAAGCAUACUUAACACUCAUAUUGAGCGUUUGUGUCUUCCCUCCGUCGACAACACACCCACCUCCAGCCCUUGGCCUGGGGCUGUAUUUAAGCUCCCAGCUCUGCUCCUUGCCCUGGCUGGGUUGUGCUUUGUGGUUGCUUUUAGAGCUGCCUCAUUGUGAGGGAUGUUCCUGGGGACUGUCACCAUCCUAGAACCAGCCCUGCUUGGCUCCUGCCUUCCUGCAGCUGCUCCUUGGCGUUUUAUCCCCAGGUAGGUCAGGCCGGAUUUUGUAACAUCUGAUUUUUGUUUGAUACCUUUUAAUGGAGCGACUGCUCGUGGUGCCCCUGCUCCCUGGAAGGAGGAAGCUGCCCAAGCAGGGAAAAGCUUUGGCUCAGGUUUCUUCCCCUUAUUUUCCUGCUGCUGUUCCCAGCCUGAGGAUGAAGGGGUUAGCUGCUCAUUCCCAUCCAUCGCUAAAAAUCCUAAAUCAGGAGCUGAUCUUCAGGGCUCAGAGAGAGAUUGUGCCUCCUGACUCUAGCUGCUGGCAGCGUUUUAAAGCACCAGAGGCUGCAGGGACACACUCAGCAACAUGGCUGCUGCUGGGGGCUGGGGCGCACCAUGGGGAGAGAGCUGAAGAAGCACAGAACGUGACAAUAAAGAUGAGGAACAGAGGUAUAGAGCAAUUGGGGGAAGAUCCUACAGCCCUUUUGGAGACUUCUCUUCAGCAUCAAGAGUAAAAAUGGAAAAAUGUCUGCUCGCCUGUCCUCCCAGCUCCUUUCCUUCCCGCAGCAAAGAAGCUGAGGGCUUUUCCUCCUUGGAGCCUCAAGCACCAAAAGAAGUGCAAAACAGAAUGAAUCACACAAUCGUUAGGGUUGGAAAAGACCUCCGAGGUCAUUUGGUCCAACCAGCCCCUGCCAAUAGCAGGUCCCUCUCACCUGCCUCUCCCCCCCUCUUCAGGAGGUGUUUUUGGAGGCUCCUCCUCCUGCCCUAACAGUUCAGUCCCAGAAAAAUUACAUCCCCUAACGACGGUGCCUGUGAAAUGCUAUGCUUAAUAAAAUGUGUUGCACAUCAAUAAUUUAGCUGCUU